AAAACCCCAAAUUCGUUUCCCUUGACGGCGCCUUCAGAUGAGAUCCACGACGGGAUGAACCUGGAGCUCUACUACCAAUAGAACCCACCAGUAUAAACCAGUACAACCCAGUCCGGACCAGUGCAGCCAGCCCAGCGCUACCAGUAUAUCCCAGUAUAUCCCAGUCCCCUCCCCCAUUUCCGGCCCGGCCCCGUUUGUUGAUCAAUAAAGGCGAUUUUGGGGCCUCCGGGCGAUUUUUGGCAUUUCCCGGCCACGUUCCAGAGCUUGUGUCGCGAUUUUAAGGAGAAAUCCCGGUCUUGUGUCGCGAUAUCGCGAUUUGAGGCAAUACUGGGGGGUUGUGUCGCGAUAUCGCGGUUUUAAGGCCACAUUGAGGGGUUUUGUGGCGAUAUCGCGAUUUUAUGGUGCCAUAUCGCGAUGUUUCCCACGGGGGUACCCGAGCCUGGGCACGCGGAGCUCCCGGCAGGGAUAAACCCCGCGGUUUGUGGGGAUCGCCGGCGAUACGGGGGAGAAUCGCGACAGAGGCUCGGAGCAGGCGCUGCUCGGGGCAGCCCCGUCGUCAUGGUAACGGUGGCUUUUUAAUCAGGCGCCUCGCAGGGCAGCCCCGUCACCAUGGCAGCGGGGACCUUCCUUAGGGGCGACGUGUUGCUAUGGUAACGGCGGGUCUCCAAUCAGGCGCCGAACGGGGCAGCCCUGUUGCCAUGGCAGCGGGGGGCUUCCCAUGUGGCCGGCGCGCAGUAUGGCGGCGUCCAUGGCGAGCGCGGGAACGGGUGAGGGAGGCGGGGGAGCCGCGGGCGGCAACGGGAGCAGGAACGGGGAGCGGGAAUGGGAACCGGGAACUGGAGCGGGAACGGGAAUGAGAACCGGGAGUGGGAACGGGAAUGGAACCCGGGAACGGGAGAGGGAACGGGACCCGAGCAGCGCCUCCGUCUUCCCUCAGGACCGCGCUGAGCGCGGGGUCCCGGAGCCGGUACCGGGCAGCGGAGCUGGGACCGCCCGGGAAUGGCGGAGGGGCCGGGACGGGCCAGGACGAGGCCCCGGCUCCGCCCUCCCGAGGUUCCCGCGCCUCCUUCCUGCAGGUGAGUCCAGGAGCUGGAUCCCACAAAUCACUGGGAUCCAAUGGAUCAUCGGGAUCAAGGUCCCAUGGGUCCCACAAAUCACCAGGAUCCGGAUCCCAUGGAUCCCACAAAUCACCAGGAUCCAGAUCCAGUGGAUCCCACAAAUCACCAGGAUCCGGAUCCAGUGGAUCCCACAAAUCACCAGGAUCCGGAUCCAGUGGAUCCCACAAAUCACCAGGAUCCGGAUCCAGUGGAUCCCAUGGAUCUCCGGGAUCAGCUGGACGAGCUGGACGAGCUGGAUGCAGAAAUCCUGGGAAUGGCCAGAGCUGGGUCCAGAACGGGGAAACGCGGCGGGAAGGGGCCGGGCCCCCAAAAAGGUACCGGGAAUUCUCUUGGGAUCGACCCCAAUCCUGUGGGAUCGACCCCAAUCCCAUGGGAUCAAACCCCAUUCCAUGGGAUCAACCCCAUUGCUGAGGGAUCGACCCCAAUCCUGAGGGAUCCACCCCAUUGCUGUGGGAUCGACCCCAUUUUAUGGGAUCAAUCCCAUUCCUUGGGAUCAACCCCAAUCCCACGGGAUCAACCCUGGGAUCAACCCCAAUCCUGUGGGAUCACCCCAUUGCUGUGGGAUCAACCCCAUUCCAUGGAUCGACCCCAGUCCC
rnacentral:lncRNA from 1 species